UCUCUGAUAGUAUAUCGGUUAGUACACGCGCCUGUCAUGUUGAGAAAUAGUUGUGACGCGCGAAAGCUGGGUUCGACUCCCAGUCAGAGAG